rnacentral:rRNA from 1 species
UACGGAGGGUGCAAGCAUUAUUCGGAUUUAUUGGGCGUAAAGAGCUCGUAGGCGGUCUGUCGCGUCUGCUGUGAAAACUGGAGGCUCAACCUCCAGCCUGCAGUGGGUACGGGCAGACUAGAGUGCGGUAGGGGAGAAUGGAACUCCUGGUGUAGCGGUGGAAUGCGCAGAUAUCAGGAAGAACACCGAUGGCGAAGGCAGUUCUCUGGGCCGUAACUGACGCUGAGGAGCGAAAGCGUGGGGAGCGAACAGG